UACGUAGGGGGCAAGCGUUGUCCGGAUUUAUUGGGCGUAAAGAGCGUGUAGGCGGCUAGGUAGGUCUGCUGUGAAAACUCGAGGCUCAACCUCGAGAUGUCGGCGGAAACUGUCUGGCUAGAGUCCGGAAGAGGAGAGUGGAAUUCCUGGUGUAGCGGUGAAAUGCGCAGAUAUCAGGAAGAACACCUAUGGCGAAGGCAGCUCUCUGGGACGGUACUGACGCUGAGACGCGAAAGCGUGGGGAGCGAACAGG
rnacentral:rRNA from 1 species